UACGAGGGGGGCAAGCGUUGUUCGGAAUUAUUGGGCGUAAAGAGCUCGUAGGCGGUGUGUCGCGUCGGCCGUGAAAACCUGCAGCUUAACUGUGGGCGUGCGGUCGAUACGGGCAUCACUGGAGUUCGGCAGGGGAGACUGGAAUUCCUGGUGUAGCGGUGAAAUGCGUAGAUAUCGAGAGGAACACCUGCGGCGAAGGCGGGUUGCUGGGCUGACACUGACGCUGAUGCGCGAAAGCCAGGGGAGCGAACGGG
rnacentral:rRNA from 1 species